rnacentral:rRNA from 1 species
AACGAACGCUGGCGGCAUGCCUAACACAUGCAAGUCGAACGAAGUCUUCGGACUUAGUGGCGCACGGGUGCGUAACGCGUGGAAUCUGCCCUUGGGUUCGGAAUAACAGUUAGAAAUGACUGCUAAUACCGGAUGAUGUCUUCGGACCAAAGAUUAUCGCCCAAGGAUGAGCCCGCGUAGGAUUAGGUAGUUGGUGGGGUAAUGGCCCACCAAGCCGACGAUCCUUAGCUGGUCUGAGAGGAUGAUCAGCCACACUGGGACUGAGACACGGCCCAGACUCCUACGGGAGGCAGCAGUGGGGAAUAUUGGACAAUGGGCGAAAGCCUGAUCCAGCAAUGCCGCGUGAGUGAUGAAGGCCUUAGGGUUGUAAAGCUCUUUACCAGGGAUGAUAAUGACAGUACCUGGAGAAUAAGCUCCGGCUAACUCCGUG